ACGCAAAUUUUUGACCGAGCAAAGACAGCUGCACGGUCCAAGCGAAAUAUGCGGAACUGGAUUGGAAAUUGUGUUUUUUUCCUCCUCUGGCUCUAGAAAGGUUUCAGCUUGGACUGUUACGAUUGCGCUGAUUCUUCAGAGUGUAGCGACCCCUUUGUCCAGGCAAACGUCAAGAAAAAUGUAACCGGGAUUUGCUUCAAGGCCAUUGCCAUAAUCGGUUCUAGUUAUAACGUGGAGGUAAAAUUCCGAAGAGGUGCAAUAGAUGACACCCCAGACGCUUGCAACAAAAUUAAAGAACGAUUUUUUGAGGAUAGAUUACUCGGGUCCUUUUAUUAUUGCACGAC